rnacentral:ncRNA from 1 species
UGAUAGAGGCGCGGCUGACAAGAGUAGCUUCCACGUAAGGUGCAGGGAACACCGGGAGCAAAAGGGGAUGCCGCCGAAGGGAGAAAGCAUUUCCUGCGGCUUUCUUUACCUGGGCGGACGGAGAAGAUCCGGACGACUGUCGGAACCCUAUAGGUUCCGGAGGGCUAUUGU